CAGAAAAAGGGCACUGUCCUCUUGGGUGGGUGGCUGCUGAGAUGAAGCCAAAUGAGAGGCAGAGGCCAAAGCAGCAGCAGUUCUGUGGUUUGCUGGCUGGCUUGGCAAAGCCAGAAUUGUUGGCUCUGCAGCAGGGCUCCUGUUCCUUCUUCCCUGUGCACCUUCAGUGCGGGGGGCAGCCUGAUCACAACUCUCAUCUUCAGGGCAGAAGAUCUGACUGCAGAGAUGCCUCUUCCUGAAUCUGCUUUGAGUUUUCUACAGUCCAAACAGCAUUUUAUUUUGUUGACUCAGGGAACAGGAAUGUCUGCAACCUACUGUACUAAGUACGCCAGGUGCAAUUUAAAUGAAGCAAGGUCUGAAGCCAACAACAGCAAAAGAGAAAAAUCUGCAGUAUGAUGAGAGCAAAAGAAGCCUUGUAAAUCCUUUCAACAAGCAAGCACAGCUCCAGGCAAAAGCUGAGCUAAGCUCUGUUAAGAAGAGAGUGAUGGCUCAGAAAUUCUGGGACCUGAGUCAGCAAGCUGAAGAAAAGAACAGUGCUCCUACCCAGGGCAAAUGCUUCCCUUCUGACAAAAACAACAACAAAAUAUCAGACCCAACUCUAAGCUUUGUUGCUUUUGAGCCCCAAAGUCUGAGCUAAUGCCAUGCCAGGCUCCAGUUCUCAAGCUGUGUUGGAGAAAACAUAAAUCAGUUUCACAGGGAUUCCCUCCAUUGUCUUCUCCCCCAGC